GUGCAGGAUCAGGACGUCUUACGUGAUUGGGACGUGGAGAAAGAUCCUGGCGUUAACAUUGGCGCUAGAAGGAGGGCUGUUCUAGUGUUCUUGAAGUUUUCAAUCACAAAUUGUAGCUGCUCUACGUCGGAAUCCAUGGUGAAGAAGAGUAGAACAGUUACCUCUAAAGGAUACCCCGAUGGCUAUGACUUCGUCUACACAAUGAGUAUCUGUCAAGGAUUGAUUGGGUCCUUCAAAGAAUGCUCAUGCUGGUACUGCUUCCAAGCAGGUUUCUGAGGGUUCUCGUUCGAGAGCCCAGGAUGAUGCUGGAAGAAGAUUGAUUUUUGCUGCCCAGAGAAUACCUGACCAUGGUCGGAAAAGGGUAGAAGACAUACUGCUUAGAAUCCUAUACCAAAGUGGUCAGACUGACA
rnacentral:lncRNA from 1 species